UUUCGAGCUCGGUUCUACAUGGAGCCAGAGACAUCAGAUAGUGGAUCGAUGACAAGUGGUCCUGUAGGUGGACGAGGUGGCAUGGGUGGAGGUGCAGGUGCAAGGAGCACACGAGGACCUAGUGCCAGUGCGGCUGUGCGACCCUUACCUGCCUUGAAGGAGAAUGUCAAGAGGGUCAUGUUUUAUUGCUAGUUUCAAUCUGACCCAGAAAAUUAACAUUUGGAUUGUCAUUUAGGACGUAGUUAAAAAACUGUUUUCUGGUAUGAAUAUACUGCAGUUUGCUUUGUUGCUGUGUGUUGACAUGAAUAUUGGAAUAUGGAUGUUUGUUCCAAAUUUACCAUUUCUUUUGUUAUUCGUGACUUUUGCUGUAAUGGUGGUAGUGUAUUAAUCCUGUCUGCCACAUUUUCUCUUAAGUGGCCAAAAUGCUCGAUGGAAAUACAAGGUGGCCUGAAUGUGGCGAGUCCUUUUCUAAAGUAUUCUGGUUGGUUGCGGUUUUGAAAAUUCUUUAAAUCGAGCUAUAAAUAUUCAAAAUUAUUUAAUCUAUUAAAUCAAAUUGAAAUAAAGUGUUUUUGAUAUAGUUUGUUUUGGGAGUGAAUGUAUAAAUUUACUCCUCAAUUUUGUGACUUUAAACGGAAUACUUUUGAAUUUUGUGGGAAUUUUUGGUAUCUACAAAAUAUCGUAGUAUAAUUUUUUAAAAUAAUGAUUUUCAUAAAAUUUUAAUUUUUUAAUGAUUGUUUAAUUACUUUAGUUUUAAUAAAAUAAAGUUGAAAAUUUUAGUGUUUAAUAGAUAUAAUUUAAUAAGUUAAAGUGCGAAUAUAAUUCAUAGUAAAAGUUGAGAAUGGAGUGCUAUUUGGGUUUGCAUUGUAAAAAUAAACAAUAAACUUGAGAGCUUUGUUUUUGGUUUUUUUGGUUUUCAAAAACUAAUUAUGAAGUAGUAAGUUAUUAAUUUUAUUGACAUCUUAGUCUUUUUAUAAUAGCCUUCUAGUUUGAUGAUGAUGUUAGAUUUUUCAUUUAUGGGUGUUGUGGUUUUGCAGUUCCUCCUGCGUACUAUGCUCAUCUUGCAGCAUUUCGAGCUCGGUUCUACAUGGAGCCAGAGACAUCAGAUAGUGGAUCGAUGACAAGUGGUCCUGUAGGUGGACGAGGUGGCAUGGGUGGAGGUGCAGGUGCAAGGAGCACACGAGGACCUAGUGCCAGUGCGGCUGUGCGACCCUUACCUGCCUUGAAGGAGAAUGUCAAGAGGGUCAUGUUUUAUUGCUAGUUUCAAUCUGACCCAGAAAAUUAACAUUUGGAUUGUCAUUUAGGACGUAGUUAAAAAACUGUUUUCUGGUAUGAAUAUACUGCAGUUUGCUUUGUUGCUGUGUGUUGACAUGAAUAUUGGAAUAUGGAUGUUUGUUCCAAAUUUACCAUUUCUUUUGUUAUUCGUGACUUUUGCUGUAAUGGUGGUAGUGUAUUAAUCCUGUCUGCCACAUUUUCUCUUAAGUGGCCAAAAUGCUCGAUGGAAAUACAAGGUGGCCUGAAUGUGGCGAGUCCUUUUCUAAAGUAUUCUGGUUGGUUGCGGUUUUGAAAAUUCUUUAAAUCGAGCUAUAAAUAUUCAAAAUUAUUUAA
rnacentral:lncRNA from 1 species